CUACGGGUCGCUGCAGCAGGGAAUAUUGCACAAUGGACGGAAGUCUGAUGCAGCGACGCCGCGUGGAUGAUGAAGGCCCUCGGGUUGUAAAAUCCUUUUCAGGGGGACGAGGAAGGACGGUACCCUUGGAAUAAGCGUCGGCUAACUACGUGGCCAGCAGCCGCGGUAAGACGUAGGACGCAAGCGUUAUCCGGAUUUACUGGGCGUAAAGCGUCUGUAGGCGGAAUGGUAAGUUGGACGUGAAAGCUCCGGGCUCAACCCGGAGAGGUCGUUCAAUACUGCCAAACUAGAGGGCAUCAGAGGAGCGUGGAAUUUCCGGUGUAGCGGUAAAAUGCGCAGAUAUCGGAAGGAACACCAAUGGCGAAGGCAGCGCUCUGGGAUGAACCUGACGCUAAGAGACGAAAGCUAGGGGAGCGAACAGGAUUAGAUACCCGCGUAGUC
rnacentral:rRNA from 1 species